CCUACGGGAGGCAGCAGUGGGGGAUAUUGCACAAUGGGGGGAACCCUGAUGCAGCGACGCCGCGUGAAGGAAGAAGUAUCUAGGUAUGUAAACUUUUAUCUGCAGGGAAGAAAAUGACGGUACCUGACUACGAAGCCCCGGCUAAAUACGUGCCAGCAGCCGCGGAAAUCCGUGGGGGGCCCGCGUUAUCCGGAUUUACUGGGUGUAAAGGGAGCGUAGGGGGGUGUCCAAGUCAGACGGUAAAGCCCUGGGGUCAACUCCGGGCCUGCUUUUGAAACUGUACAGCUUGAGUGCAGGAGAGGCAAGUGGAAUGCCUAGUGUAGCGGUGAAAUGCGUAGAUAUUAGGAGGAACACCAAUGGCGAAGGCGGCUUGCUGGACUGUAAAUGACGCUGAGGCUCGAAAGCGUGGGGAGCGAACAGGAUUAGAUACCCUUGUAGUC
rnacentral:rRNA from 1 species